GCCGCCGUGGCUCAGUAGGUAGAGCGACAGCCUGUUAUCUCUCACCCACUGGUUGAGAGCCAGACAGUUGUUGGUCGGAGUGCGUCACAAUUCGUGACGUACGGCUAAAGGUUCGAGCCCUCCCGGCGGCG
rnacentral:tRNA from 1 species